rnacentral:rRNA from 1 species
GGAUGAACGCUAGCGGCAGGCCUAAUACAUGCAAGUCGAGGGGCAGCACGGCAGCGCUUCAGACGACGACCGGCGCACGGGUGAGUAACGCGUAUGCAACCUACCUCAAACAGGGGAAUAGCUCAGGGAAACCUGGAUUAAUGCCCCGUAAUAUUUAAAACUGGCAUCAGUUUAAAAUUAAAGCUCCGGCGGUUUGAGAUGGGCAUGCGUGACAUUAGCUAGUUGGUAAGGUAAAGGCUUACCAAGGCUACGAUGUCUAGGGGUUCUGAGAGGAUGAUCCCCCACACUGGUACUGAGACACGGACCAGACUCCUACGGGAGGCAGCAGUGAGGAAUAUUGGUCAAUGGGCGCAAGCCUGAACAAGCCAUCCCGCGUGUAGGAAGACUGCCCUAUGGGUUGUAAACUACUUUUAUAAAGGAAGAAACUCCCGCACGUGUGCGGGACUGACUGUACUUUACGAAUAAGCACCGGCUAACUCCGUGCCAGCAGCCGCGGUAAUACGGAGGGUGCGAGCGUUAUCCGGAUUUAUUGGGUUUAAAGGGUGCGUAGGCGGGCCUUUAAGUCAGUGGUGAAAUCCUGCAGCUUAACUGUAGAACUGCCAUUGAUACUGAAGGCCUUGAGUAUAGUUGAGGUAGGCGGAAUGUGUAAUGUAGCGGUGAAAUGCUUAGAUAUUACACAGAACACCGAUUGCGUAGGCAGCUUACUAAGCUAUAACUGACGCUGAUGCACGAAAGCGUGGGUAGCCAACAGGAUUAGAUCCCCUGGUAGUCCACGCCGUAAACGAUGAUCACUCGUUGUUGGCAAUACACCGUCAGCGACUAAGCGAAAGUGAUAAGUGAACCACCUGGGGAGUACGAUCGCAAGGUUGAAACUCAAAGGAAUUGACGGGGGCCCGCACAAGCGGAGGAGCAUGUGGUUUAAUUCGAUGAUACGCGAGGAACCUUACCUGGGCUUAAAUGUAUAUUGACAGUCAAAGAGAUUUGAUUUUCUUCGGACAAUUUACAAGGUGCUGCAUGGUUGUCGUCAGCUCGUGCCGUGAGGUGUCGGGUUAAGUCCCAUAACGAGCGCAACCCCUACCGUUAGUUGCCAUCAGGUCAAGCUGGGGACUCUAGCGGAACUGCCUACGCAAGUAGAGAGGAAGGUGGGGAUGACGUCAAAUCAGCACGGCCCUUACGUCCAGGGCUACACACGUGCUACAAUGGCCGGUACAGAGGGCAGCCACUGCGUGAGCAGGAGCGAAUCUCGAAAGCCGGUCUCAGUUCGGAUCGAAGUCUGCAACCCGACUUCGUGAAGCUGGAAUCGCUAGUAAUCGCGCAUCAGCCAUGGCGCGGUGAAUACGUUCCCGGGCC